rnacentral:lncRNA from 1 species
CAAUUUACAGCCCUCUUAUUACCUUUAUUAUCUGUAGUUUCUAUUUUAUUUAUGGAUUGAAAAAAAACCGUAAUCUUUGAAAAUGGGGGUAGUCAACACCUCACUGUGACGUCGUUAUCCGGUUUAAAAGAGUUUAUUUUGUUCUGCCAACGGGGUUAAGUUAACAUCGUUCUUCGCUAAUUGAUCGGGGUUUGUUAAUUCUAUUCCGUUCAAAAGCAAAACUUGAUCGAGAUUAAAGACUUGACCGGGAUUAACUUUGAUAGUGUGAACGUAGUUUAACAGAACGAUGACUAAUCCGUGGCUAUUACUAUACAGUUCCUACUUGCCCGCUUUGUUUGAAAAUUUCCAGCCAAUCAACAUCUCGGGCUCUAUCGAUGACGUCAGUAAAAUGGCGGCAGUUCGAAAUGAAGAAUGUUUUAAGUCACACUUAAAACAUUUAAUAUAUUCUUUAAAUUAUAUUUCACUCAAUAAUAACUCAAUCAAAUAUGGAGGAUUCUAUAAACUAUGAAAAUUUAACGCAUGCGUAAGAAGACAGGG